CGUCCGGCGACCGGCGCACGGGUGAGUAACACGUAUGCAACCUGCCCUCUUCAGGGGGACAACCUUCCGAAAGGGAGGCUAAUCCCGCGUAUAUCGGUUUCGGGCAUCCGAGAUCGAGGAAAGAUUCAUCGGAAGAGGAUGGGCAUGCGGCGCAUUAGCUAGACGGCGGGGUAACGGCCCACCGUGGCGACGAUGCGUAGGGGUUCUGAGAGGAAGGUCCCCCACACUGGUACUGAGACACGGCCCAAACUCCUACGGGAGGCAGCAG
rnacentral:rRNA from 1 species